GAAGGUGGGGCUAAUGACUGGGGUGAAGUCGUAACAAGGUAGCCGUACCGGAAGGUGCGGCUGGAUCACCUCCUAACAGGGAGACAACAAAAUGUUUAAUAUUAUUAUUUUGUCACCUUAGGUCGAUCGGUAUCUCACGUUCUUAAUUUAUUAAGAAUUUCAUUUCCUAAGUUUUUCUAGGUCACACCCAUUAUUUUUCCUGGGCCAUUAGCUCAGGUGGUUAGAGCGCACCCCUGAUAAGGGUGAGGUCCCUGGUUCAAGUCCAGGAUGGCCCAUAUCUCUAUGUUGGGGGUAUAGCUCAGUUGGUAGAGCGCCUGCUUUGCAAGCAGGAUGUCAGCGGUUCGAGUCCGCUUACCUCCACUGAUUACCACCUCUUCCAUAACCGGUAGUAAAGGAAAUGUUUUGAGUUGUGAUCAAAUUCUGAAAGAAUCUAGCUUCCUAAUGAAAUCAUUAAGAUGCUGGACUCAUUGAAUUAAUUUCAUUGUUUUCAGAGAACCUUGACAACUGCAUAGAUUAUUUUUAAAGACAAUAAGCAUCUUUAAUGAUGCAGAUUUAUUAUUUGUGCGAAUGCAUUAAUAACAAUUCUAUUAAGCUGAUGCUUCAAUUUUUGAAGUUAUUGGUCAAGCUACAAAGGGCUCACGGAGGAUACC
rnacentral:misc_RNA from 1 species